rnacentral:rRNA from 1 species
CUACUUUCGUCAUGAAAGAAGUUUAAAAAGGCGGCGUAAGCUGUCGCUAAAAGGGGAUGGACCUGCGAUGCAUUAGCUAGUUGGUAAGGUAACGGCUUACCAAGGCGAUGAUGCAUAGCCCGAGUUGAGAGACUGAUCGGCCACAUUGGGACUGAGACACGGCCCAAACUCCUACGGGAGGCAGCAGUAGGGAAUCUUCCACAAUGGACGCAAGUCUGAUGGAGCAACGCCGCGUGAGUGAAGAAGGUUUUCGGAUCGUAAAGCUCUGUUGUUGGUGAAGAAGGAUAGAGGUAGUAACUGGCCUUUAUUUGACGGUAAUCAACCAGAAAGUCACGGCUAACUACGUGCCAGCAGCCGCGGUAAU